CCUACGGGGGGCUGCAGUAAGGAAUAUUGGUCAAUGGAGGAAACUCUGAACCAGCCAUCCCGCGUGAAGGAUGAAGGGGCUCUGCCUUGUAAACUUCUUUUGUCGGGGGCGAAAAAGCUCGAUUUAUCGAGAACUGACGGUACCAGAAGAAGAAGCACCGGCUAACUCCGUGCCAGCAGCCGCGGUAAUACGGAGGGUGCAAGCGUUCUGGGGAAUCAGGGGGCGUAAAGGGCUCGGUAGGUGAGUGGUACAAGGCUGUGGCUUAACCUUUGAAUUGCCAUUGAUACUGCAGAGCUUGAAUGAGGUUGAGGUUGGCGGAAUGUGACAUGUAGCGGUGAAAUGCUUAGAUAUGUCAUGGAACACCGAUUGCGAAGGCAGCUGACUGGACCUAUAUUGACGCUGAGGCACGAAAGCGUGGGGAGCGAACAGGAUUAGAUACCCCAGUAGUC
rnacentral:rRNA from 1 species